UACGUAGGGUGCGAGCGUUGCCCGGAUUUAUUGGGCGUAAAGGGCGCGUAGGCGGCUCGGCACGUCCGUUGUGAAAUCGCCCGGCUCAACUGGGCGGGGUCGGCGGAUACGGCCGAGCUGGAGCAAGCUAGGGGGUAAUGGAAUUCCCGGUGUAGUGGUGAAAUGCGUAGAUAUCUGGAGGAAUACCGGUGGCGAAGGCGGCGAUCCUCGGACCGGCUAUUGACGCUGAACAGCGAAAGCUAAGGGGAGCGAA
rnacentral:rRNA from 1 species